GUGACAUCACAGCACCUGACACUGCACAGGCUGUGCCGUGCUUCCCAGCAGUCGCCUGAAGCCACCCCUCCCCCUCCUUAAGCCAGCCCAGAUCAAGGGCCUUGGCUUGCUGAGGUGGGGGCUGGGUGGGAAUAGUAUCUACAAUCAAGGGGUGGUCGCAAUAGAGGCCUUCUAGGCACCCAGACUGGCUCUGAGGACAAGCUGGAUGUGAACAAGUGUCCUUCAUCUGUUCCCAAGGACCGGAGCCCAGCCUGUCAUCGAUGCUGCUAGCUGGAAGAGAGACUCUGUAUGGCUGCUCGGUGUUCUCCAACUCAGCCCAGAGUCUUGUCAUCUCUCCUCUCUCAGCCAGGCCUCCGUUUCCAAAGGGCUGCUGCCACUCUGCCAUGUGGCUUUCUGCACUUCAACCCCAGGCCUGCUAAGCCCUGUUGAGCCAGAUCCAGAAUAAAAACCUCAAUGAAAAAGAAGAGAACAAAACUGGGACGAAGGAGAGCUCUUAGGAAGCAAGGACAACCAAGCAGCCUUGUCAGACCUGACCAUCAGCCCUCCCGACUCUCACUCAAGGAUGACUAAGGCCCAGGGGUCUGUCAUGGAUAAAAUCUUUGGAGUCUGGAUCUUUCCCAUUAUCCACAGAUUGUUAAACCUGCUAUGUACUCCUAGAAGUGGGCUGUGAGCUCUUUUGGAAGAAUCCUGCUUCUUCUGCCUUGAAUGCUAUUACCUGCUGCCACAUCUGCCCCAAAUUGCUUUCAAAGGAAGUAUUCUCACCGGUUUUAUUUUAUCUGGAGAGCAUUCCUCUCCCUGGACAUUUCCACCAGGACUCUCCUAUUUUGGCUAGAUGAGAUACAUCUUCAUCCCUAAGUCACCACAGGUAAGAAUGAAUGGGCCUA
rnacentral:lncRNA from 1 species